rnacentral:rRNA from 1 species
AGCGCAGACGGUUAUUUAAGUCUGAAGUGAAAGCCCUCAGCUCAACUGAGGAAUGGCUUUGGAAACUGGAUGACUUGAGUGCAGUAGGGGAAAGUGGAACUCCAUGUGUAGCGGUGAAAUGCGUAGAUAUAUGGAAGAACACCAGUGGCGAAGGCGGCUUUCUGGACUGUAACUGACGUUGAGGCUCGAAAGUGUGGGUAGCAAACA